CGAGGGAGAAGCUGCUGGUGUCCUCACAGAGGUAGACGGACAGGUGCUUCCUCUGCUCCUCCACAGAUGACAGCAGCACUUGCAGCUGCUCGACAGCCUGCAGGCUCUCCUGGUAACACCACAGAAGAACACAAGAUUUGCUGCUGAACCACUAGGUGAUGCUGAGUCACACCCGCCUGAAUCUGCAGGUGAGCAUACACACUGUAUAAAAAUGGACACAGCUAGCGUAACACCAGCGUCAACGUUAACAUUUUGUUUGGUGUUAUGUUGCUUUUUGUUCCAGGAAAUGACUACGUUUGGAUAGUCAUUUCUGUGGAUAGUAGCUAGCUUAGUUAUCAGUGUUUUGUCACACAGAUACCUGCUAAUCAGUGUCAUUUAAAAAAAAAAAAAAAAAACACUCCUUAGAUGAACUGUUAGUGCAAUCAACCUCACAGCUGUGAUAUUACUGCUUAGAUAACUUCAUAAAAACUUCAUCAGACUCCAGUUAGCUGAGGUGAAGUCCAGCAGUCGCUAGCAGCCCAGUCUACAGCAGAGACAUGGACAUGACUUAUUUAUUUUGCAUGAAAGGACAACAAGCAUGAUGGUGAAGUGGAACUGGCAUCCAGGACAUAAACAGCUGCAUUAUACUGCUAACAUCUGCACAGACAGCAUGUUAAUGCUAAGCUAGCCAAGAACUUCAGGCCCUUUCACAUAGGACGUGGCACACUGACCGCUAGCUUGUUCUCCACCUGUCCCACUUAGCGUAAAGGACCCAAACUUUGUGUUGUGCUGGCCGCUGUGCUCUGCUUGGAUGUCUUUUUUUUCUUUGUUGCCACUCUACGAGUCUUUUUUAAACCUACAUCUCUCUGCCUUUGUGUCCUUCACAAGAGUUUGUGUUGAAUUAUGUUCAAAUGUUUAA